rnacentral:pre_miRNA from 1 species
UUACUCCCUCCGUCCCAAAAAAAGGCAAACACUGGGUUUCCGUAUCCAACUUUGACUAUCCGUCUUAUAUGAAAUUUUUUUAUAAUUCAUAUUUUCAUUAUUGUUAGAUGAUAAAACAUGAUUAAUAUUUUAUACGUGACUUGUCUUUUUAAUUUUUUUCAUAAUUUUUUUAAAUAAGACGAACGGUCAAACGUUGGACACGAAAAUCAGGGUUUGCCUUUUUUUUUUGAGACGGAGGGAGUAUGAUCUC